rnacentral:rRNA from 1 species
AGUGAACGCUGGCGGUAGGCCUAACACAUGCAAGUCGAACGGCAGCACAGUAAGAGCUUGCUCUUACGGGUGGCGAGUGGCGGACGGGUGAGGAAUACAUCGGAAUCUACUUUUUCGUGGGGGAUAACGUAGGGAAACUUACGCUAAUACCGCAUACGACCUACGGGUGAAAGCAGGGGAUCUUCGGACCUUGCGCGAUUGAAUGAGCCGAUGUCGGAUUAGCUAGUUGGCGGGGUAAAGGCCCACCAAGGCGACGAUCCGUAGCUGGUCUGAGAGGAUGAUCGGACACACUGGACCUGAGACACGUUCCAGACUCCUACGGGAGGAAGCAGUGGGGAAUAUUGGACAAUGGGCGCAAGCCUGAUCCAGCCAUACCGCGUGGGUGAAGAAGGCCUUCGGGUUGUAAAGCCCUUUUGUUGGGAAAGAAAAGCAGCAGGUUAAUACCCCGCUGUUCUGACGGUACCCAAAGAAUAAGCACCGGCUAACUUCGUG